rnacentral:rRNA from 1 species
AUUGAACGCUGGCGGCAGGCCUAACACAUGCAAGUCGAGCGGAUGAAGGGAGCUUGCUCCUGGAUUCAGCGGCGGACGGGUGAGUAAUGCCUAGGAAUCUGCCUGGUAUUGGGGGAUAACGUCCGGAAACGGGCGCUAAUACCGCAUACGUCCUGAGGUAGAAAGUGGGGGAUCUUCGGACCUCACGCUAUCAGAUGAGCCUAGGUCGGAUUAGCUAGUUGGUGGGGUAAAGGCCUACCAAGGCGACGAUCCGUAACUGGUCUGAGAGGAUGAUCAGUCACACUGGAACUGAGACACGGUCCAGACUCCUACGGGAGGCAGCAGUGGGGAAUGUUGGACAAUGGGCGAAAGCCUGAUCCAGCCAUGCCGCGUGUGUGAAGAAGGUCUUCGGAUUGUAAAGCACUUUAAGUAGGGAGGAAGGGCAGUAAGUUAAUACCUUGCUGUUUUGACGUUACCAACAGAAUAAGCACCGGCUAACUUCGUG